rnacentral:rRNA from 1 species
UACGUAGGUGGCAAGCGUUGUCUGGAUUUACUGGGCGUAAAGAGCGCGCAGGCGGUCGUUCAAGUCGCGUGUGAAAGCCCCCGGCUCAACUGGGGAGGGUCACGCGAUACUGAUCGACUCGAAGGCAGGAGAGGGUAGUGGAAUUCCCGGUGUAGUGGUGAAAUGCGCAGAUAUCGGGAAGAACACCUAUGGCGAAGGCAGCUCUCUGGGACGGUACUGACGCUGAGACGCGAAAGCGUGGGGAGCGAACAGG